GGGUUCUUAUUAAUAUUUCCUUUCAUGUGCUUACAUAUGAGUUACAGUUGCUAAUCCUUUCCCACAGUUUAGCACCUAGUUAAAAGAAAGGGCUUCGGAAUCAGGUAAGUGUAGAUUAAAGUUAUAACGGCAAAUUGCUGAACCUUUGGAAGCCUCGGUUUUUCCAUCUGGAAAAUGGAUUUUUAUCUUACAGGACUGUCGUGAGGAUUGAUGAGCUAACAUUCCUAAAUCAGGGAGUUUGAAGUCUGGCCCAGGAUCUUCUAGAUUUUGACGUUCUCCUUGUCUUUGCUGUGUACCCCUGGGAGAAACAAAGGGUGAGAAGAAACAAGGGAAAGGAGAAACAUUUGUGUUUUCCAAGUUUUCAGUGUUGAUCAGCCAGCGGGAAUAAAGAGAAGAUGUGUAAGAUGGAGGGCAAAAGAGAUUCCCAGAAGCUGCUGCAGAUCGCUUCCAGUUGCAUUUCGAAAGCCAUUACUCAAGUGUAUAUUCACACCUAGCUGCAAGAAAGGCUGGGAUUGUAUUCUGUAUUCUGGGCAGUAAUGUGUCCCGCUGAGCACUGGAGUUUUAUUAAUAAGGAAGAAGGUAUUUUCCUCCUUUCCUGAAAUAAUGUGUAGUUCUGACCAAGUGAGAAGAAUCAUAAGAAUAUGGGAUUUUGAAAAACAUGAAAACAUCCUAAGAAAU
rnacentral:lncRNA from 1 species